GGAAGAAUUUCUAAAGCCUUUGCUAGAAAUCCUCAAGUGUUUAGCCACACUGGAGCUACCCCAGCUGCCGCUACCGCAGGUCUUCUCUGUGACCCUGCCCUGUCUCUGCUGGCCGAACACCAUAUCGGAACGGCUGUGCCCUGACCACUGAGCUCCAAGGGUCUAGAAUGGCACUUCACAUCACAGAAUAACAAGGCAGCAGCUGUCCACCCCUCUGAGCACGCCUGGACAUCUGGCUGGUGUCUUUCCAAAGGUCUCCAUCCUGAGCAGUCCUCAAGCAAACACUCGAAUCUCCCGUGGUGAACUCAGGCCAGGACGGUGUGCUUGACUGUUGGUGGCAGCUGCUGAGCUCCAGAUGAUACGGGUCAUGAAGAGUUGGGCUUUUAUCUCAGUUCUUGCAACAACCAGAUCAGAUGUAACAGGACCUGCCUUCAGCCUCCUGCCUCCUCACUGCCUUCAUUCGCACUUCUUUGAGUCAGGUUGGCAAAUCCCUUCAUAACCUGCCCGAUCUAGUUUUCCAGCCCCCAAUACUCUCCUGACCUAUAAAUUCGCCUUCUGCGGUGGCCCCACACUGAACUCCUCCCAGGUGGCAGCUCUUUGGAUCUGUCUGUCCUUCCUUUCUUUUUGCUCUUUUCCUGGAAUGCCCUUCUUCUCUUGUCAUCCUACUCAAGACAAUCAGUUUCUCCCUCUAUCGCUCCUUGAAUUCACCGCUGAUACUGCACUUGUGUCCGCAUAUUGCCAGGUUUUAUUUAUGGAAGACACUUCUUAGCCAUCUUGUGAGCUCCCUGAAGGAACUGUGUCUUCUUUAUCUGUAUAGCCCCACCUAGCAGGCACUCAAGGCACGCUUGUAGAAUGAAUAAGGGAACAGACCAUUUCUUCUGAGCUGGUUCCAGUCUUGCUAAGCCAAUUGAAAGAAUGCCUUCUCUUGCAAUCUACAAAUUGAAAAGCCUGUGAGACCCUCAGGACACUCAGGCAAGUUUUCCAGCAUAUGUGAUCACACCAAGCCUUAGUGCAUUUGCCUCUCACGUGGAGAAGAGUCUCUUCUAAAAGUGAAACGGAGAUAGGCUGGGCGCGGUGGCUCACGCCUGUAAUCCCAGCACUUUGGGAGGCUGAGGCGGCGGAUCACAAGGUUGGGAGAUCCAGACCAUCCUGGCUAAGACGGUGAAACCCUGUCUCUACCAAAAAUUAGCCAGCGGUGGCGAGCCUGUAGUCCCAGCUACUCGUGAGGCUGAGGCAGGAGAAUGGCGUGAACCCGGGAGGCGGAGCUUGCAGUGAGCCGAGAUCGCGCCACUGCACUCCAGCCUGGGUGAGAGGGAAACUCCGUCUCAAAAAAAAGAAAAAAAAAAAUGAAACGGAGAUGAAGGGUGAGACUCUUACAGUAGUUCACCUCCCCUAAGAUCCUCUUGUGAUUCAGAAGCAUCUUGGAAAGAAAUCCUUGACACUUGCCUCACCCACCCUGAGCUGUAAGAUAAAGCAC
rnacentral:lncRNA from 1 species